GAGACUAUAUUUUCAGGGAUCAUUUCUAUAGUUCUUUGCUUGGAAAUGUGUUUUGAAAGUGUUUGUUUCCCAAUCCUAUGAUGAUGAGUCACGAUGCUCCUUCCUGAGUGUGAAUUGGCACAGGUCAGUGACUUUGGUUGUGAGUUCUGUGUCGUUUAUGAACAUUCUGUAUUGCUUUUUGCAAUAUUGAAAAAAGGAGUAUGUUCUGAGUGGU